GGGUGGCGGGUGGUGGUUGGCGAAUGGUCUGGCAGUGGGCGUGUUACCCACAGUGCUCUCUGGCACCAGCCUGUCCCAGAGGAGGAAAAUCAGCCUCUUUUCCUGGAUAGACUCUGAUGCUGUGAGAUGAGGAGGGACAGACCAGGAGGGAGGGAUGGUCAGAGUGGUUCAAAUCAACAUUCGGACAUGUCACCUCAGAGUUCCUCUUAUAGACUGUAUAGAGAAUAGACGAUUAAGAAUAAGAAUGAGAAUAAGAACAGCCCCCAUAGUGAUGGGCUGCAGUAUAGGUCAUAAAUCCCACCUCCUCCAGUAAAAUCGAUGGAGUUGUGGACAAAUUUUAGAAAUUAAUUACGGAAAAUAUACAUUUUUCUCCCCUCUUGUUAUGAUGUUGACAUGUAGUUACUGUAAGACUAGUUUGUGUUAAAGUCCUCUUUUUUCUGUACUGCUCCAUUUUUAAAAAUUUAUUAGGGGGGUUCAUGUUUUCUCUGAUUGACACUUGGUACAGCCUAUGGGUGUAAGAAGGUUGCAUAGGACAUCCAGGGGAUACGCUGUUUGAGCAGAGCAUCAUCACAGCGACUCUCCUGCCGAACGUGACUGCACAAAUGCUGGUUUCAGGAAAUUGAGAAAAUUCAGUGAGCAAUUUGGCUUCAAAUUUGUACAACGUGAGGAGGCGGAGUAAAGUUGUCCAUACUAUAUACAGUCUAUGGUUCUCCGAUAACGAUGGAGAGUCUGAUGGACUGAGGACAGACUUCAUCAGAAUUCUCAGUCAUUACUGUCAGUCUGAGAAAACAUUAAAACUUCUGGUUGAAACGGUGAUGAUGUUAGAGUCGAUGGGAUCAGCUGAUAAAUACUGAAACAGAAACAUUUACUCCUAUCUCCGACUCUCAUAAUUUAAACUCUGAGAGGACAUUAUAGAAAAAGAUGGAUCACAUAUUCACACUCAGCACCUUUACCUGCGCAGUUAAGUGGAGCUGUGGUUAAAGCUCCAUUAGAGGGGAUUUCACUGGACUGGUGUUGCCCAACAAAAAUCAAAUCAGAAGCAUGUCUGCCUCCACUACAGUAGGUGGCAAUAUGCCCUCUCUCAGCUUAUUAUUAUCAGGACGUCUCCAGGAGGCAGUCCGGCAUUCAUGGAUCACUAAAAAACAUUGCAACUUACUGCUCUGUGCUGUUCGUUUGUAUGAACGUUUUGGACAUCAACAGAAUUUAUGUUGGAGCUCUAAAAUAUCUCCACUCUGAACCACUUUUCAAAGGUUUGGCUCUUCAGGCUCACAAAGACCUAAACACCUGCGUGCCUAAGUCACUGCUCGGACCAACUAGCACCAGUCUACGCCGGCAUCUUCACCUCCUCACUCCAGCAAAUGAAGAUCCCAGCCCUCUUCAAAAAAUCCACCAUAAUUCCCAUACCCAAGAAAGGCAAAUCCUCCGACCUCAACGACUACAGACCCGUGGCCCUGACACCCAUAGCCAUGAAGGUCCUGGAACGUAUAGUACUGUCUACAAUUCGCAUAUCGCUCCAACCGGUCAACAGAUGAUGCAGUCAAUCUAGCUCUGCACUUCACCCUCAAGCAUUUGGAGUCAAGAAACUCAUAUGCAAGGAUACUUUUCAUAGAUUUCAGCAGUGCCUUCAACACCAUCAAUCCCCUCAAACUGUUCCACACUCUGAUCAACAUGAACAUUGACCCCUCCCUCUGUUUCUGGCUGCUGGACACACUGAAGGAACGCACCCAAGUUGUCCGCCACAACAACCUCACCUCUCUCCCUCUGACCACAAACAUCGGCGUGCCACAGGGGUGUGUUCUAUCCCCGUGGCUCUUCUCCCUAUACACCAACGACCUCCGAUCAGCCUCCACUUCAGUCAAGCUGCUGAAAUACGCGGACGACACCACCAUCGUGGGGCUGAUCACCAACAACAUGGAGGACGACUACAGGUCAGAGAUUGACAGAACGGUCAACAUAUGCAAAGACCACGAUCUCAUCCUUAACGAAAGCAAGACAGUUGAACUUAUCAUUGACUUCCGGACAAACACCUCCAUCAAGACACCCAUCAUCAUCAAUGACCAAUCCAUUUCUGCUACAGACUCAUUUAAAUUCCUAGGUACACACAUCAACAACAAGCUGAACUGGGAUCAUCACACCACUCACCUCCUCAAAACAGCAAAUCAACGACUUUUCCAUCUCAGACAACUCAGGAAAUACAGAGUCAGGAAGAAUUUACUGGUACAAUUCUACACCGCCAUAAUUCAAAAUAUUCUGUCCUUAUCUAUUACCACAUGGUACGGCAACACACCAAAACACACGUUAAACAGACUGGGCAGGGUGAUAAAAAGGGCCUCCAAAAUCAUUAACUGUGAACUCCCCACACUGGACUCAAUCCACAAACACCACACCAUCACAAGGGCAUACAAAAUAAUUGAUGACCCACCACACCCAGCUCACCAACUUUUCCGGCUCCUCCCCUCGGGUAGAAGGUUUGGAUCUCUGGGUGGUUCAACAAAGCGCUACAAUAACUCCUUCUUCCCCCUUGCCAUACGACUGCUCAACUCGUAUGGUCCACGUGUGUGAAGUCUGUGUUUUAUGUUUUAUGUUAUAUGUCCCAUGUUACCCCGUUUCACAUGUUAUGUCAUGUCAUGUCACUGUAAACUGUUCAAUGUCUGUUUAAUAUCUGGUGUAUUGUCGCAGCUACCACCUGCACUGUGAAAAAUUCCACCGGCCUAGCCGUGUGGCGAUUAAAGAAACUUGAACUUGAACUUGAACUUGAAACCCAGUGGUAGUUCUUCCCUAUUAUCUGGUCUGAACAGGGUCAAAGAGAGCAGUAAUAGAGUCCAGUCUCUUUCCUUAUCUUUGAUGGACACAGUGAGGACUGAAAAUCACCAAAGACAAAGGGCGCUGCCUGUCAUUCACUCCUGUUCAGAUGAGAGUAUGAGUGUGAGACACUCAUAAAAAUGUGUGUGUGUUUGACUUUAUGAUCCUCCUUGUCUGCCUCCCUUAUGAAUCAUGAUCCAGCAUCCUCACAGAUCCAGACUCGGUCCAGUCUGAUCUUCUUAUAACUCCUGUCCUGACAUGCAGAGGCCCAGAGUCAGCUCCAAAACAUGAAUGUAAUGAUAAGAAAACCUCUGAAAACACAAACAAUCACAAAAUCUACUCAUCACAGAAGCUGAGAGCUCAUCUGGACCACAGCUGAGACACACUAAGAGAGAAAACAGAGAGAGGGAGGAGAGACUGACACAGGAUGAAAGGACUGAGAGUAAGGCCCCAACUACACGAAUGCGGAUAUAGUUCAAACCGCACAUAUUUAUGUCCGAUUAGGCCUCCCUACCACACCAAAACGGGAGUUUGGAACACUCAAACCGGAUAAAUCUGAAUCCGAAAAAACAAGUGGAGAAACAAAAAAAUAUCCGUAUAGGUGGAUUCGUGUGGUUGAACAAUUACAUCCACCAGUCAGCCAGUCAGUCUCUUUCUUUGUUUGUUUGUCAUAGCCGCCACACCGUCACAUGGACCCGACGCACUAGCGUAGCUUCCGCAAACAAUGUAUGACGCAUCACGCUGUCAUGAUUCAACGGCCAAUCAGGUAGCUUUGUUCCUGAAUUUUUUUUAAGCGGCACCAGAUAGGAUUGGGUUUGAAGGCUACGUGUGGAUACAGAUAUUUUGGAGAACUAACACGUGUGGACAGAUACAUUUAUUUAGACGGGAGCACAAAAAUAUCCUGAUAAAUAAAUAUCCAUAUACGUGUAGUUCGGGCCUAAGAGAGAGGGAGGAGGAUACAACAGAGCUGAGGAUGAGCCCAGCACAGCUUUUCUCUCCUCUGUCUUAGCUAGAGCAGAAACCACUCUCAUUGAAAACCUUCAAAAUAAAAGCCUCGCUCUCUCUCUUUUAUACCUCUACAGUCAGCUUUGAAGUCACACAUCCAUCUACACGGACUAUGUUGAAUAGUUUGUAUGCCUCCAUCUGCUCUGCAGCUCCAGUAACAUCAUAAUGUUGAUGUAGAAAUUAUUUUUAUUUUCUUUGGUAGAAAUCAUAUGAGUCAGAUAUUCGGAGUUGAACUUUGUUAUAGGACAAAUCUGAGUGUCUUUGUCACGAAUCAUGGAUACCUGAUUGUUAAAAUUUUCCAAAGAUCACAAAGUGAAAAGGUCCAAAACAAAAUGUUCCGUUUUCAGAGACUUCAAAGUCUUGUCUCUUUUCUGAUGUGGUUUAUUUUCAUAUUCGACAAUAAUCCAAUCAUGAAAAUCACUUUAAAACUGUCAGAGGAUGUUUUUCAUCUGCCAAGUUGCUGCUUUUCUGCAGGACUGCUCAGUAGUUCUGCUUCAUUUGAACCCUGUUUCACCGACCCACUGCAGCGUUUGUUUUCCUGCUCUAAGCUGUGUCAUGGGGCUCCGCUGGGCCGUCCUGCUUCAGGAGGAAAUCUUUUAAUUCAGGACCACAAACUCAGUAUUUACUCACUGUAGCGGAUGAUUAGCCUCAUGCUAAUGCCAACUUUUCUUCCCUCUGUUUGGACGCUGUACCUCACUUAUGUUGUGUUUGUACCAGUGUGUGCAUUAAUGGCACAUUAGUUGAAGCAUCAUCCAGAGUUUAAAGUAGCACCCUUAUACAGUCGGCCUGCUUACUGUCAGAUGACUUUAGCUGCACUGUGGUUUCAUUGAGCACCGCUGACCUGGAGAGGUGAAGAGGGUUCAUGUGUAAUUCUUAGAAAUAAAGUUACAGACAGACACAGAGACUGAGGCUGAAACAAUGAGUUAUAAGGAGAUUUGAGGGCAGGAAAAGCUGUUUCCUUCCUCCCUCCAUCACCAUCACCCAGGGCUGAAAUGCUCUCAGCAGACGCAGAGUUUUCAGGAGGAAACACCACCUCAGGGUCCUCAGGGGUCAGCAGGAGCAGGAACGGAGCAGUCCAGCAUUUCCUGACCCAUCAGGGGCCACACCAUCAGGGACACCUGAGGCCAACCCUCAGGCCCUGUGGGACACCUUAGCCAGAAUCAAAGGUCACAGAUUUCCAGUGCCUGUAAGUGGGAGAAUUAGUGGAAGCAAAGCUGAACAAAAGGUUUAUUAUUGAUAUUUAACAUUUCAUCCAAACCGUUGAUCAUUUCUGUAUUUCAGGGUCCCCGAACAGCAGAUUCCAUGUUUCUGAACUCUUUUUCUUCAGUAUACUAACAGUGUAAACAUCGAAGUAUCACUCUGUGAGAGACUGUGUGAAUUAAUAGUCCAACAGUUUCAGAAUAAUGUUCCUGAGUGCAAAAGAAUGAGUGGAUUUCAUCAUCUACAGUUCAUAAUAUCAUUAAAAGAUUCAGAGGAUCUGGAGAAAUCUCUGUACUAAAGGGACAAGGACCAAAACCAGGACUGGAUGGUCCUGAUCUUCAGGCCCUCAGGCAGCGCUACAAUAAAAACAGACAGGACUCUGUGGUUUGACGAUUAAAACCUUGAUAUUCAUUUUAGAAAUCCUGGAUCCUCCUCUUUAAAGAGUAAAAGGUCAGUAUAGCUUGUUCUCAGCUCCCAGCCUACAGCCAUCAUCCCUGAUAGUAUGGGGAUCAACAGAGUCCAUGUCAUGGGUAUCUUCCACAUCUGUGAAGGCUUCAUUAAUGCUGAACAAUAUCUACAGGUUUAGGAGCAUCAUCUGCUGACAUCCAGACAAAGACUUUUCAGGAGGACCUUCAUAUUUCAGCGAGACAAUGACAAACCACAUUCUGACAACAGGGAUUACAACAGCAUGGCUCUGUAGGAGUAGAGUCCAGCUGCUGAGAAACUGGUCUACUGGGUUCACGAAGGUAUACAGAGAGCUGGUGAAAAAAGAGCUGAGGACACAUGAGGAGAUACAUGAACCUGAAACUACGUUUUACAAACGUGUCAACAUUUAAAAUAAGCACAGACGUUUCAUACAACAAUCACAUUUUUCAGUUUCAACAUUUGAUUAUCGUCUUUCACCAUUUUCAGAUAAAUACAAAUUUGCAAACCAUCAAAUAUGAUCAAUAUUUUACACAGCAUCAUGACUUUAGUAAAAUAGUUUUUUCUUUGCAAUUUCAGUCUGUGGGAUAAACCCUUCUCAUUAGAGCAUCAAUAUAAAUGGGUAAUUUAGUGUUUAGGGCCUCUACAUAAUCAUCUAAAGUAAAUCAGUCUUUAGACGUCAUGAUUCUCUUUCAU
rnacentral:lncRNA from 1 species